UGAGAGACCCGAUGACUGCAAGGAGCGAAUUGAAAUUCAGUCGGAGUUAGCUUCAAAAGCCAUGUGGUGCCACUUCUGCCCAAUGAAAAGCCCGAACGAAAAUGAAAUGAAUUGAGAUUCAUCAUCAUUCGUCUCUUUCAUCUUCAUCAUCAUUCCUCUCUCUCUCUCUCUCUCUCUCUCUCUCCCUCUCUCUCUCUCUCUCUUCCUCUGUCUCCCUGAUUCUCUGAUGUUCAAUAUGUAUCGGAUGCAUCGCGGUAGAUCCCUCCCUUCCUCAUUUGCACGGCAAUUUUCAGAAAUUUCGGCCUUCACCAACCUUUCUUUCGCAACAUUCGCGGGCAUUUGACAAUUUUCCGGAUACGACAGAUAUCUGUUCCCAUUUGGAUGCAGACAAAGCAUGUCCGGGGAAUGCAAUUCAAUCCUUUGAAUUUGAUGGAUCUUUACGUGUUUUUUGUCAGGAUUUGAAUGGUUGUUAACGAUUCUUCUUCUUCUUCCUUUUCUUUUUGGGGGCAUCUUCUCACCAAUUAUUUAUAACUCGGUCAUGGAACAAUAAUCAUUGGAUUGGACAGUUGACCGUUUAUGCAAUGUAAAUGAUGAUUUGUAUCGAGGUCCUUGUUAGUUAGUUACUCUGCAGUUUGGGGACGCAGAAAUGUUAUGCAUUACUACCAUGGUUAUUAGAAUUGCCAUUUGAAUAGUAGAAUCUUACGAUUCUACGAUUCCAGGGGUGGUUACCGAUUCCGAUUCUAUGGCAUGAAUCGAGAAGGUAGAAUCGUGGCUGAAUUAUGAUUCGAAUCUCAGAAUCGUAGAAUCGGACCGAUUCUACGAUUCUAGUUUCAACCCAAAAUCAUAUGCCCCCUCUCUCUCCCUCCUCAUCUUUCUUAUUGUGCAACAGUAUUGUUAAUCGGUUCUCUUAUUUUAUGAAAAGUUUGAAACUUGUCUCUUGACUGUUAGUGAUAAGGACUUAGAAAAUUUCUGGAACUGCUUCGAAUUGGGUUUCGGCCAAUUCCUUAUUGCCGUCUUGUUUGAGAUGAUUUAGGUUGGAAUCUUUUCGACUUUUUUAGGUGCAAAGAUGAUUCCAAGAAGGGACAGAACAAGAAGAAGUCAGGGAGGAAAAACAGUUUCGUCUACAGGAUCCGUGACCACGGUUCUUCGACAGAGGAAUUGAUUUGCUUGAUUGCAGUGUCAAGCGUGCUGAAACGCUGGUGGAGGGUGGUGUCGCCUGUGUAAAGUGGAGGAUGAGUCGGAUCAAGCCAGCAAGAUACCUAUGAACAAGAGUUUGGUUGGCAAGGAUGGUGAUGUUUACCGCUGUGCAGUGAUGGGGAUUUGACGUGGAUCAUGGGUGGGAGGGCCUAGGAUACCUUUGGGUCUUCGUGUGGAUGAGAGGUCCAUGGUGGAUUUCACAAACAAACUUUGCCCUAAGUUUCUCGUCACGGAAACUGAGUUGGAGUUCUUCCAUGAAGCGUGGCGUGAUUCUUUGAUCAUCAAGGUUGGGGAGAAACUGGGUUAUACGAUACUUAAGCGGUGCCUUCUCCAACUUUGGAUGCCAAAGGGUGAUUUCAUUCUCAUAGACUUGUCGAAUGAUUAUUUUAUUAAGUUCUCUGCAAGGGAGGAUAGGGACCAUGCUUUGUCUGAUGGUCCUUGGACGGUGCAAGGUCAUUUUGUGACGGUGCGGGAAUGGGUGCCUGAUUUUCAACCUAAUGUGGCCAAAAUUGAUCGUGUUGCAGUGUGGGUGCAUAUUCCGAAUUUGCCAAUAGAGUAUCAGAAUGAGACUAUUCUUCAAAGGAUGGGGUAUGGUUUGGUACGACCUUUGAAGAUUGAUCGCAACACGGUAAAUUCCACUAGCGGUAAUUUUCUCCUGUCUGUGUUGAAGUGGAUUUGGGGGAACCUUUUGAGUCCUUCGGUGGAGCUCUUGUCAACAUUUUAUAAUGUUGAAUACGAAGGUCUCAAUUUGAUUUGUUUCACUUGUGGGAGGGUUGGUCAUCGGCAAGAGACCUGUAAGCAGAGUUCAGUGGAUCUUUAAAAAGACUGUUCCUACAGAUAUUGCAAAGAAUGAGGUUCCUGAAGUUAUUGUUCAAGUGGGUGCUUCCACUGAUGGGAUCAGUUCGCCGGAUGCGGCUUCGGUGGCAUCUGCUAUGGUGAAUGAUGGACCGUCAUCAUUUGGUCCAUGGAUGAUUGCUCAUGGUUAGUUCAAAAAAUCAAGGGGAAUCCCUAAAGUUCAGGGAUAUUAUGAAGAAACACAAUCGCCGAGGAUAGAGAGAAAUCUUCCAGUAGUGGCUCGAAAUUUGAUAUCUUAAGCAAGAUGACAGUUGAGGAAGAUUGUCCCUCUAGUUUGGCGGUUAAGGAUGCAUCUAUCAUGGAGGGAAAGGUUGGUUAUACUUCUAGUGUUGGGCUGAUGUCCAAUGGGCCGCUUUUGAAGAAUGUGGUUUUCUCUACUUCUCCUUUGGACAUGGCCAGUCUAAGGGAAAAUCUAAAGGCCAUAAGAAGGGCUCGAGCCACUCGAAGGGCCUAUUGUUGAUUUGAACAAGGGAAAAGAAUUAGCUCGGGAGAAUACACUAGUGCCACUGGCGAAGGUCAAGUUCUGCUGGGCUGAUCUAAAUAUUUUUACUAGGCAGUAAGUUGUGUACUGUGGCAAUGGUAGCAGCGAGUGCCGGUCAUGAAACCCAUGCAAACAGUUACUGUAGUGAGCAGCAACAAGUAGGAGUCUAAUGUUAGGCCGAUGGUGGAAGAUCUUUUAAGGAAGCAACCGUCGAAUCUUGAUCUAGGAGAUGGUGGUCCAUUGCAGGUGUUUGAUGAUAGGGAGCCAGGUGGUGGCUUACCAAAGGUUGAUGGGGCCGAUGGUUCCCUCAUGGAGUUUUUGCCAGAAACACCUGCGGUUGCUAUUGACAUGGAUGUCUCGAUGAACAGGGAUAUAUAUUCACAUGUUAGUGCCAUGCUUUUGCUAGAUGAUUUUACCAUUGGGUCUUUUCUCUAUCCUUCAGUUUUCAUACGGAUUUUUGUGUGGAAUUGUAGGGGCAGCUCAUGGGUAUUUCCGACUCACUAUGCUAUAGUACCUUUGUGGUUGAGAAGUUGAGGUGGUCAUUAUUCUAGAACCUCGAAUAAGUGGUUCAACUGCUGAUCGCAUAAUGUGGUCUUUUAGAGUCUACUCGAAGGAGAAAGUGGAUGCUGAUGCCUUUUCUGGAGGUAUUUUGGUGUGAUGGAAGUCGGAAGAUGUUGCUCUAUCCAAAUUUUGGCGCCAUGCUCAAGCUUUUCAUUUCUUAGCAGAGUGGGGAGAUUUGAAAAAGUUUCGGGUGACGGCUGUAUAUACGGUCAUCUGUGUUGCCUAGGAGAAUUGCUUUGCGGGGGGAAUUGCAUAAUAUUUCUUCUGGUAUUGAGGGUUGCUGGGUAGCUAUUGGAGACUUUAAUGAUAUUUCGGCCAUUGAUGAAAAGAAAGGUGGUGCUCCCGUGGACCCCGAUAACUUGUCUGUGGUUUCGUGAAUUGUUGGAUUCUUGCGGUCUUUGGAUUUGGGAAGCAGUGGUCCGAAGUUUAUGUGGAAAGGGCCUCAAAUAUGGAAUUAUGAUCGAGUCUUUAAGAGGUUGGAUCGAGCUAUGGGCAGCACAACUUUCUCUGAAGUGCAGGUCCGUGUAUUAUCUCUGGUGAAAUCCGAUCAUCACCUGCUGCUGUUAGACUUUCGGGGGGAUCAUACCAGUUCAAAGGUCGGCCAUUGUGGUUCCAGGCUGCCUGUCAGAGAGAUCCUAACUUUGCAUAUUUUCUUCGUUCAUCUUGGCAUCUCGAUGCUCGGCUUCUUGAAAGUCUUCAGAGUUUUAAAACAACUGUCAGGGCGUGGAAUAUGGAUGUAUUUAAGAACAUUCAUUGUCGGAGGCCCGUCUUCUUGCUCGUUUAGGAGGGCUUGAGGUUAAGCUUCAGGCAUAGCUGCAAGAGGUAUUGGCACAACAAGAGAUCCUAUGGUUUCAAAAGUCGCAGUGUGAAUGGAGACGAGGGAAUUGUAAUACGUGGUAUUUUCACUCCAAGACAUUAUCGAGUGGUGGAUAAAGUAAAAGCUCGGUUAAGUGGUUGGUCUGCUUCAACCUUAUCUAUGGCAGGGCGUGUGACGCUUGUGUGUUCGGUUUUAACUUCUAUACCGUGGUACACAAUGCAAUCUAUGAGAUUACCAAUGACUAUUAUUGAUGAGAUCGAGCGGUUGUGCAGAAAUUUUGUUUGGGGACAUACAAUGGAUAGACGGAGAGUACAUCCUGUGAAUUGGAAAACUGUUACUCGGCCUCUGUUUUGUGGUGCCUUGGGAUUCGUCGACUUAAGCUGUUAAUGCAGCUUUUAUUGCAAAGUCAUGAUGGGGAAUUAACUAUGUCCCAUAAGGAGGCGGGAGGGUUGUCAUGGGCGUUGGUUUAUGGGGGUUGCUUGCUGGAUUCUGUGGAAGUGGAGGAGCAAGAUGCUGUUUUAUAAUCAAUUUACUUGUCCGGUUAAUGGAGCUGGAGUAAUCAUAAAAAUUGCUUGCUGGCUUCUGUAGAAAAUGAGGAACAAGACGUUGUUUGAUAAUCAAUUUACUCGUCCGGUUCAUGGAGCGGGAUUAAUCAUAAAAGUUGCUCAUUCGUUUAGUGAGGGCUUGAACUCUGAAGCACUACCUCAUGUUAAAAGGGUGCGACUUUGGAAAGAUAUUCGAUCGUGGCCUCCGGAGGAAGGAUGGAUAAAAAACUUAAUACAGGUGGCGCGUCUCAGCAAAAUCCGGGAAUAGCGGACGCUGGUGGAUUGAUUCGAGAUAGUAGUGGUAGCUGGUUAGGGGGUUUUAUCCAUAAUGUUAGGACAUUCCAAUGUUGUUCUUGCUGAGUUGUGGGCUGUAAAAUUGGGCCUGGACUUGGUUUGGGAUUUGUGUUAUCGAAUGAUAGUGUUAGAAAUUGAUUUCGAAGAUGUGGUAAGAUUUCUAGCGUCAUGGCAACUGGGAGUUGGUUGGUAUGAUGCCAUUCUUCGGGAUGUCAGGCAGCUUUGGCAGCGAGAUUGGGUGGUGGCCUUACGACAUUCGUUUCGCGAAGGGAAUGUAUGCACCGAGCGGCUAUCUAAUUAUGCUUUGUCAUUUCCUUUAAGAGUUCAUAGGUUAAACGUUUAGCAGGUUGAGUUGAGUUUUUUUAUUUUGGAUAUGUGUCCGGGACUUCUUUGUCUCAUCAUUUUAAUGUUUAGUUUUAUUUAAUAUAAAGAAGGCUUUGGCCCGUA